AUCUACGGCCAUACCACCCUGAACGUGCCCGAUCUCGUCUGAUCUCAGAAGCUAAGCAGGGUCGGGCCUGGUUAGUACUUGGAAGGGAGAUUUAGAAUGUCCCAGAAAAACUCAUGUUCUGAAGCGA
rnacentral:rRNA from 1 species